CAGUGGAGCACCACCCAAUCUGGCACCGAGUCCCCCCAAAAAAGCACUGGAAGGAAAGAAGCUUUUCUCCUUCAGGUUAUCUUAUCAACUUCUCUACUGUUUAUUUACAAGGAGCCCACUAAAUGACAUUAAUGCUCCAAGAAGUCAAGGAUGCCCUAACAAUACUAACCUGAUGAACAAGCCAAUACUGGUGCCAAGUGCUAUCAUCCCUGCAUUAUGAGGAGAGGAGAGAUUAAGGACCUCAUUCUAAUCUUUUGCAUCAGUAUAAUGUCAUUUGAUUUCA